rnacentral:rRNA from 1 species
GAUGAACGCUGGCGGCGUGCCUAAUACAUGCAAGUCGAGCGAAUGGAUUAAGAGCUUGCUCUUAUGAAGUUAGCGGCGGACGGGUGAGUAACACGUGGGUAACCUGCCCAUAAGACUGGGAUAACUCCGGGAAACCGGGGCUAAUACCGGAUAACAUUUUGAACCGCAUGGUUCGAAAUUGAAAGGCGGCUUCGGCUGUCACUUAUGGAUGGACCCGCGUCGCAUUAGCUAGUGGGUGAGGUAACGGCUCACCAAGGCAACGAUGCGUAGCCGACCAGAGAGGGUGAUCGGACACACAGGGACUGAGACACGGCCCAGACUCCUACGGGAGGCAGCAGUAGGGAAUCUUCAGCAAUGGACGAAAGUCUGACGGAGCAACGCCGCGUGGGUGAUGAGGGCUUUCGGGUCGUAAAACUCUGUUGUUAGGGAAGAACAAGUGCUAGUUGAAUAAGCUGGCACCUUGACGGUACCUAACCAGAAAGCCACGGCUAACUACGUGCCAGCCGCCGCAGUAA